rnacentral:rRNA from 1 species
UACGUAGGUGGCAAGCGUUGUCCGGAAUUAUUGGGCGUAAAGCGCGCGCAGGCGGUCCUUUAAGUCUGAUGUGAAAGCCCACGGCUCAACCGUGGAGGGUCAUUGGAAACUGGGGGACUUGAGUGCAGGAGAGAAGAGUGGAAUUCCACGUGUAGCGGUGAAAUGCGUAGAGAUGUGGAGGAACACCAGUGGCGAAGGCGACUCUUUGGCCUGUAACUGACGCUGAGGCGCGAAAGCUAGGGGAGCGAACGGG